rnacentral:rRNA from 1 species
CAGUAGCCACGGGAAUACGUAGGGUGCAAGCGUUAAUCGGAAUUACUGGGCGUAAAGCGUGCGCAGGCGGUUAUAUAAGACAGAUGUGAAAUCCCCGGGCUCAACCUGGGAACUGCAUUUGUGACUGUAUAGCUAGAGUACGGCAGAGGGGGAUGGAAUUCCGCGUGUAGCAGUGAAAUGCGUAGAUAUGCGGAGGAACACCGAUGUCGAAGGCAAUCCCCUGGGCCUGUACUGACGCUCAUGCACGAAAGCGUGGGGAGCAAACAGGAUUAGAUACCCCCGUAGUCCCUGUCUCUUAUAC